rnacentral:rRNA from 1 species
GACGAACGCUGGCGGCGUGCUUAACACAUGCAAGUCGAACGGAAAGGCCCUGCUUUUGUGGGGUGCUCGAGUGGCGAACGGGUGAGUAACACGUGAGUAACCUGCCCUUGACUUUGGGAUAACUUCAGGAAACUGGGGCUAAUACCGGAUAGGAGCUCCUGCUGCAUGGUGGGGGUUGGAAAGUUUCGGCGGUUGGGGAUGGACUCGCGGCUUAUCAGCUUGUUGGUGGGGUAGUGGCUUACCAAGGCCUUGACGGGUAGCCGGCCUGCGAGGGUGACAGGCCACAUUGGGACUGAGAUACGGCCCAGACUCCUACGGGAGGCAGCAGUGGGGAAUAGUGCACAAUGGGCGGAAGCCUGAUGCAGCAACGCCGCGUGCGGGAUGACGGCCUUCGGGUUGUAAACCGCUUUCGCCUGUGACGAAGCGUGAGUGACGGUAAUGGGUAAAGAAGCACCGGCUAACUACGUG